rnacentral:rRNA from 1 species
UACGGGGGGGGCAAGCGUUGUUCGGAAUUACUGGGCGUAAAGCGUGCGCAGGCGGUUUUGUAAGCCAGAUGUGAAAUCCCCGGGCUUAACCUGGGAACUGCAUUUGGGACUGCAAGGCUCGAGUACGGCAGAGGGAGGUGGAAUUCCACGUGUAGCAGUGAAAUGCGUAGAGAUGUGGAGGAACACCGAUGGCGAAGGCAGCCUCCUGGGCCAGUACUGACGCUCAUGCACGAAAGCGUGGGGAGCAAACGGG